rnacentral:rRNA from 1 species
AAAGAAACCAACAGGGAUUGCCCUAGUAACGGCGAGUGAAGCGGCAACAGCUCAAAUUUGAAAUCUGGCCCUCGGGUCCGAGUUGUAAUUUGUAGAGGAUGUUUUUGGUGAGGUACCUUCCGAGUUCCCUGGAACGGGACGCCAUAGAGGGUGAGAGCCCCGUCUGGUUGGAUACCGAUCCUCUGUAAAACUCCUUCAACGAGUCGAGUAGUUUGGGAAUGCUGCUCUAAAUGGGAGGUAUAUGUCUUCUAAAGCUAAAUAUUGGCCAGAGACCGAUAGCGCACAAGUAGAGUGAUCGAAAGAUGAAAAGCACUUUGAAAAGAGAGUUAAAAAGUACGUGAAAUUGUUGAAAGGGAAGCGCUUAUGACCAGACUUGGACUUGGUUGAUCAUCCUGGGUUCUCCCUGGUGCACUCUUCCAGUUCAGGCCAGCAUCAGUUCAUCGCGGGGGAUAAAGGCUUCGGGAAUGUGGCUCCCUCGGGAGUGUUAUAACCCGUUGUGUAAUACCCUGCUUUGGACUGAGGUUCGCGCAUCUGCAAGGAUGCUGGCGUAAUGGUCAUCAGCGACCCGUCUUGAAACACGGACCAAGGAGUCGUCUUCGUAUGCGAGUGUUCGGGUGUUAAACCCCUACGCGUAAUGAAAGUGAACGCAGGUGAGAGCUUCGGCGCAUCAUCGACCGAUCCUGAUGUUCUCGGAUGGAUUUGAGUAAGAGCAUACGGGGCCGGACCCGAAAGAAGGUGAACUAUGCUUGUAUAGGGUGAAGCCAGAGGAAACUCUGGUGGAGGCUCGCAGCGGUUCUGACGUGCAAAUCGAUCGUCAAAUAUGAGCAUGGGGGCGAAAGACUAAUCGAACCUUCUAGUAGCUGGUUUCCGCCGAAGUUUCCCCUCAGA